UACUGAAUGGAAGAACUGGAA
ensembl:piRNA 21ur-7608 ncRNA